GGGCUCAUAGAUGUGAUAGAAAGUCAAGCACAAUAGGAAAUCAUGUCCACUAGGAUAGGAUGUAGAGUCCUGUCUAGAAUGAAAGUAUGAUAUGCCAUGAGAUAUGCUAUGUAUAUGAUGUGGGUUCAUGUGUUUCCACAUGAACCAUUGGAUGCUAAUGUUUUGUUAUCUGUGCUGUUUUUCAGUAAACAGAAUGCGAGGAACUCGUCGAUCAGCUAGAUUGGCUAGAGUACCACCGGAGGAUGAGGGCACGAGCGCCCGUCCUCCAGCAUUGCCAAGGGCAAUGUCAAGUAGGUCCAACCGGGACAGAGCAGUGGGAGAUCCUAGAAGAUCUCUGGAUCUGGGUAGAAACAGAUCAGUAAGAGGAACGGUUCAAGGAGGCAGGUCAGUGGAUGUGGGAGAAGAGAUGGAUGUGGACCAGAGGAGGGAUGGUAGUCUUGGUGUAAGCAUGCCAGAAGAGGGCAUGGGUGAGUCU
rnacentral:lncRNA from 1 species